rnacentral:tRNA from 1 species
AAAAGAGACGUUAAGAUCUCCGGGACUU